rnacentral:lncRNA from 1 species
GAUCAUAAAGUUUAAAAAGGAAAUGUGGAAUCGUAGAGAGUUAUGAGAUUGUCACAGGAGCCACCGCACCCAGGAGGACCACGUCGACCUCGUCGCCACCAUUCGCAGAAACCGCUAUCCCGUUAGUUUAAUUUUUGAUCGUUUAGUAACUCGUCAAUAAUUUCUUAAAAUCUCGUGCAUGCAAGACCACAAUUAUCUUUCCCUCGUCGAAAAGAAGCCGUAGCCGUCGA